ACGCUGGCGGUAGGCUUAACACAUGCAAGUCGUGCGAGAAAGUAUCUUCGGAUAUGAGUAGAGCGGCGGACGGGUGAGUAACGCGUAGGAAUCUACCUAGUAGAAGGGGAUAGCCCGAGGAAACUCGGAUUAAUACCGUAUACCUCCUUAGGGAGAAAGAGGGCCUCUCUUGAAGCUUUCGCUAUUAGAUGAGCCUGCGUAAGAUUAGCUUGUUGGUGAGGUAAUGGCUCACCAAGGCUACGAUCUUUAGCUGGUCUGAGAGGACGAUCAGCCACAUUGGGACUGAGACACGGCCCAGACUCCUACGGGAGGCAGCAGUGGGGAAUAUUGGACAAUGGGCGCAAGCCUGAUCCAGCCAUACCGCGUGUGUGAAGAAGGCUCUAGGGUUGUAAAGCACUUUAAGCAGGGAGAAAAAGUUAUAAGUUAAUACCUUAUAACCCUGAUGUUACCUGCAGAAUAAGCACCGGCUAAUUCCGUGCCAGCAGCCGCGGUAAUACGGAAGGUGCAAGCGUUAAUCGGAAUUACUGGGCGUAAAGCGCGCGUAGGUGGUUUGUUAAGUUGGAUGUGAAAGCCCUGGGCUCAACCUAGGAACUGCAUCCAAAACUAACUCACUAGAGUACGAUAGAGGGAGGUAGAAUUCAUAGUGUAGCGGUGGAAUGCGUAGAUAUUAUGAAGAAUACCAGUGGCGAAGGCGGCCUCCUGGAUCUGUACUGACACUGAGGUGCGAAAGCGUGGGUAGCGAACAGGAUUAGAUACCCUGGUAGUCCACGCCGUAAACGAUGACAACUAGCUGUUGGGAGACAAUGUCUUUCAGUGGCGCAGCUAACGUUUUAAGUUGUCCGCCU
rnacentral:rRNA from 1 species